CCUACGGGAGGCAGCAGUGAGGAAUAUUGGUCAAUGGACGAGAGUCUGAACCAGCCAAGUAGCGUGAAGGAUGACUGCCCUAUGGGUUGUAAACUUCUUUUAUAUGGGAAUAAAAUGUUCCACGUGUGGGAUUUUGUAUGUACCAUAUGAAUAAGGAUCGGCUAACUCCGUGCCAGCAGCCGCGGUAAUACGGAGGAUCCGAGCGUUAUCCGGAUUUAUUAGGUUUAAAGGGAGCGUAGGUGGAUUGUUAAGUCAGUUGUGAAAGUUUGCGGCUCAACCGUAAAAUUGCAGUUGAAACUGGCAGUCGUGAGUACAGUAGAGGUGGGCGGAAUUCGUGAUGUAGCGGUGAAAUGCUUAGAUAUCACGAAGAACUCCGAUUGCGAAGGCAGCUCACUGGACUACAACUGACACUGAGGCUCGAAAGUGUGGGUAUCAAACAGGAUUAGAUACCCUGGUAGUC
rnacentral:rRNA from 1 species